rnacentral:rRNA from 1 species
GAGUUUGAUCCUGGCUCAGAGCGAACGCUGGCGACAGGCUUAACACAUGCAAGUCGAGCGGGCGUAGCAAUACGUCAGCGGCAGACGGGUGAGUAACACGUGGGAACGUACCUUUUGGUUCGGAACAACUGAGGGAAACUUCAGCUAAUACCGGAUAAGCCCUAACGGGGAAAGAUUUAUCGCCGAAAGAUCGGCCCGCGUCUGAUUAGCUAGUUGGUGAGGUAAUGGCUCACCAAGGCGACGAUCAGUAGCUGGUCUGAGAGGAUGAUCAGCCACACUGGGACUGAGACACGGCCCAGACUCCUACGGGAGGCAGCAGUGGGGAAUAUUGGACAAUGGGGGCAACCCUGAUCCAGCCAUGCCGCGUGAGUGAUGAAGGCCCUAGGGUUGUAAAGCUCUUUGUGCGGGAAGAUAAAUGACGGUACCGCAAGAAUAAGCCCCGACUAACUUACGUGCCAGCAAGCCGCGGUAAU